AACGAACGCUGGCGGCAUGCCUAACACAUGCAAGUCGAACGAGACCUUCGGGACUAGUGGCGCACGGGUGCGUAACACGUGGGAACGUGCCCUUAGGUUCGGAAUAACUCACCGAAACGGGUGCUAAUACCGGAUGAUGCCUUCGGACGAAAGAUUUAUCGCCAUUGGAUGGGCCCGCGUUUGAUUAGCUAGUUGGUAGGGUAACAGCCUACCAAGGCGACGAUCCGUAGCUGGUCUGAGAGGAUGAUCAGCCACACUGGGACUGAGACACGGCCCAGACUCCUACGGGAGGCAGCAGUGGGGAAUAUUGGGCAAUGGGCGAAAGCCUGAUGCAGCAAUGCCGCGUGAAUGAUGAAGGCCUUAGGGUUGUAAAGCUCUUUUAGCCGGGACGAUAAUGACAGUACCGGGAGAAUAAGCUCCGGCUAACUUCGUG
rnacentral:rRNA from 1 species